rnacentral:lncRNA from 1 species
GAUGAUCGACCGAUCGAUCUUUAUGUGUAACAAGGUGAAGGCGAGAGAGAGUAAAAUGUUUUUCUCUAUGUGUUUUUCUUGGAUAUGCGAGAGAAAGAUGAUGAAGAAAGUUUGUUUUGUCUUUUUUAACUUUUUCUCCUUGGACACAUGUCAGAUAACUAUUAGGGAGUUUUUAGUGAUUUUGAAUUGGAAAAUUUGUCCUCCCCUCUGUCCAGCACUUUGCUUUCUCCUUCUCUAUUUUUUUUUUAUAUAUUUAC